rnacentral:lncRNA from 1 species
UUGUGGCUGUGGUAACUAGUGACAACCCAAUAGAGUUGAGACAUUUGAGAUCGAGGAUGCUGAUGCAAUAUCAGUUACGGACAAGAUUGAAGAUAAUGCGACUCCAUUUUUACCAACAGUAUGAUCCCAGUUUUGAAGUGCUGGACAGGAAGACCUUGAAAGGGCUGCCCGACUGCAAGAAGAGGCUGGCCGAGAUGAAGGCUAAAUUGCAAGAACUUUCCUUUGAAGAAAGGGGAGAUGUGCUGGAGCUGGCUGCUUUUCAUCUACCUGCCUGGAGUGAUUUUUGACAUCAUGGAGUACCGGAGAGCUAUCUCAGGGUCUCCUGACAACCUCGCUGGUGCACCUGCAUGAAUUGCAGGGAGACUCCUGCACCUUACAAUACACAACUGCUGCCAUUUCACCACUGUAAUAUUCAAAUUAUUUAUUAGCAAGUACGUUUACAUAACAGGUUAACACUUUCCACAACUACACUGUACUUUAUUCUUCAUUUAGAUCCCAAUUAGGAAAAAUACUCAAUUUAGUGAUAUUUUUGUAAGUCGAUUUUUGUGUGAAUUUUUCCUUGGUCUGGGUGAUAUCAGUUGAGUACUUUAUCAGAAUGUUUCUCACCAAAGCAUGUGAGCGGAGUUGAGCGGUUUGAAAUCCCACUCAUCGCUCAUGGAGCGGUUUCGCACUGCUCCAGCCCUCCAUUUCCUUUCCAACCACUCCGCUAAAGACUGCUCUGCACUCACAGGAAAAUAAAAAACUCAUCAUGCAAAUCUUUUUCACAACCGAGAGGACAACUAACACUUACAUCUUGUUGCACAACGCAUUCGCCAAUACUGGACGAUGGUUACAAAGGUUGUAGUCAAGUGCUGCCAGUAGGGUUCCAGCCUCAUUGACUGGAGACGGAAAAGCAAACCACAUGUAUCAAGGGAUGACACAGAGACCUCUGAGCAAGACAGUGAGCCAGAGCUGCCAGGAGAUGUCAUCGACCCCCUUCCAACUGCAUCAAGCACCAGAUAUGCUGUUCCAAAAGGACCCAAUGACAUUUCAAGAUCCAGAGAAGAGGGUCCUGUACAGCCGUGUUUGAAAACAUUUCCCAGAACUCAGCAUGGUACUAGGAAAGGGGCUUUCAACAGCUCCUGGUUUAAGGACAAUUCAUGGCUUGAAAAUUCUGUAAGUCAAGAUUCAACAUAUUGUUUCGCCUGUAGACAUUUUUCUCUGCCCAAUACACCUGAUUCUGCCUUCACAUCACAGUCAGGUUUUUGUAACUGGAAAAGGGUGCUGUUUAAAGAUUCUGGGUUAAAGCUCCAUUCGAAGGCAGAGCAUCAUAUCAAUGCUAUGUAUGCUUGGAAUCAGCAUAAAAGGGCUAUUGACAGCAACUUAUCAAUGUUAGAUGUCAUAAAUGAGGACCGGAAAAAGGAGGAAAACUGUACUUACAUUAAAACAAUUACAGAUGUGCUCCUGUUAACUGCCACUCAAAAUACAGCGCAGAGAGGUUAUUGAGAGUCUGAUGACUCUCACAACAAGGGUCAUUUUUUUGACAAUCUUAGAAGGAAUAGCAAAGAAUGACCCUCUCAUAGAGAAAAGGAUGAAUGCAUAUGGCAAUGCUAAGUACACAAGCCACCAAAUCCAGAAUGAAGUUCUUGAGGGCUUAGCUGAGAUGGUACAUCGUGAAAUAAUAAGACAAGUAAAAGAAAUGGAAGUUUUUAGUGUAAUUGCAGAUGAAACCAAAGAUUGAAAGAACAAAUGUCUUUAGUUGUGAGGUACUAUUACAACGGAACCAUCCACGAAAGCUUUCUACACUUUCAGUCAGCUGAAAGCUUAGAUGCAGCAGGCCUCAAAAAUUAUAAUUGAUUGCCUUGAAAAACAUGGUCUGGACUACAGAAAUAAUCUUGUGGGGCAAGGCUAUGACGGUGCAUCCGUCAUGAGCGGAAAGCAUUCUGGUGUGUCUGCAUGGAUUAAAAACAGUGCAAGAUUUGCAUUUUAUGUGCACUGUAAUGCACAUUGUUUGAAUUUGGUUCUUGUCGAUGCUGUAAAAUCAGUGCCUGAGGCAGUUAACUUUUUUGCUCUCCGGCAGAAGCUUUAGAACUUUGUAUUUGGCUCGUACGUUCAUCUCAAGUGGCUUGCAGUUCAGAAAGAGCAGUAUCCACAGCAGCAGCCCAGGGAACUACAGAGAUUUACGGAUGUAAGGUGGGCAUGCAUGACGUAAUCUGAGGGACAGGCUUCCAGCAGUUCUGAGAGUGCUAUAGAAUAUCACACUUGAAAAUAGUGGUGAUAGAUCAGUGGAGGCAAGGGGACCUUCUUUCUCAGAUAGAUUUACAUUUCAUAGGGCUUUUGGUUACCUUCUGUCAAGUGCUUGGUGAUGCCAAAUGUCUUUCUGACAUGCUCCAAUCAAGCUCUUUUGACCAAGCAAGGGCUGUGGAUCUAGUAGGUGCCCUUACAGACACAUUACAGGACUACAGAAGUGAGGGUUACUUUGGAGAAGUAUGGAAAGAGGUUGAAGAGAUUGCAGAGCACUGCAAAAUAAGUGUACAAACAGUGUGUAAAAGACAGCCUAAAACAAGCUUAAGAUUUCACGACUCAUUGAUGAUGAGCACUGUAGGACAGAAAAAUUGUGACCAAAGUGAUGGUGAGAGCUUCCAAAGAGCUAUCUUUUAUCAGGUGCUUGACAGUCUCACAGCUGAGGUGCAGAGGCGUUUUCAAAGAAGAAUUGCAACAUAAUGCAAGGGGUCCAGUCUCUCAACCCAAAGAGUACAACAUUCUUCAAUGAGGAGACUCUGUUUGCCUUUGCUCAGACCUUUGAGUCAGAUUUAGAGGACCUCAAACAUGAGGUUCAUCAAACCAAGCGGCUUCUUGAUAGGACAGAGAAAAGUGGAAGGGACAGACCGUCUACUCUCUUUGACUUUUUUGUGUUUCUAGAACCUUAUAAAGAGGUCUUCCAUGAGCUAUUUCGACUUUGUAAGGUUUCUGUUGUUACAUCAGUCAGCAGUGCUUCUUGCGAGAGAAGCUUCUCAGCUUUAAUACUGAUUAAAACCCACCUUAGGACAACAAUGGUUGAUGACAGAUUAAGUCACCUUGGAAUUCUCAGUGUUGAGUCAAGGAGGGCACGCUCCCUCGACAUGGAUGAGUUUGUGAAACAUUUUGCCAGGACUCACCAGAAAUUACCUAGGAUAAUUUGGCACUUAGGCGGUCCCGCUGGUCAUGAUUAAAACCUGCACUGUGUACUAGCUAGUACACUGACAUUCUAAAAUGAUACAUCCAAAGGGUAUCAUGUCACACAGAUUUCAUUUGGUCUUGAUUAGGCCAAUUCCAAAACUUUCCUUUGCUAUUAGUUAGCAUAAUAUAUAUGAGCAUAAAUAUGAUACUGUAAGUUUAAUAUUGAUGGGCACCAAAAUAAUUUGUAUUUUUCCAAGUCCAUUUAUGCUUAAUACCUGGAAUGUCAAAUUGCAGUGUGUUUUAUUUGUAAAUGUACUUUUUUUGUAAAUAAACUAUGCAAUUUAUG